rnacentral:rRNA from 1 species
AUUGAACGCUGGCGGCAGGCCUAACACAUGCAAGUCGAACGCGUGGCGGACGGGUGAGUAAUGUCUGGGCAACUGCCUGAUGGCGGGGGAUAACUAAUGGAAACGGUAGCUAUUACCGCAUCCCAUCAGAUGUUCUCAGAUGGGAUUAGCUUGUUGGUGGGGUAACGGCUCCCCAAGGCGACGAUCCCUAGCUGGUCUGAGAGGAUGACGGGCAACACGGGAACUGAGACACGGACCAGACGCCGACGGGAGGCAGCAGUGGGGCAUAUUGCACAAUGGGCGAAAGCCUGAUGGAGCCAUGCCGCGUGUCUGAAGAAGGCCUUCGGGUUGUAAAGUACUGUCAGCGGGGAGGCGGUACCCGCAGAAGAAGCACCGGCUAACUCCGUGCCAGCAGCCGCGGUAAUUC